CCCACCCUACGGGGCGCAGCAGUAGGGAAUUUUCGUCAAUGGGCGCAAGCCUGAACGAGCGAUGCCGCGUGAGUGAAGAAGUCCUUCGGGUCGUAAAGCUCUGUUGCGGGGGAAAAAAGGCAGCAUCAGGAAAUGGGCGCUGACUGAUGGUGCCCCGCCAGAAAGUCACGGCUAACUACGUGCCAGCAGCCGCGGUAAUACGUAGGUGGCGAGCGUUAUCCGGAAUGAUUGGGCGUAAAGGGUGCGCAGGCGGUCCUGCCAGUCUGGAGUGAAACGCAUGAGCUCAACUCA
rnacentral:rRNA from 1 species